rnacentral:rRNA from 1 species
GCGGCAUGGCUAAAGCAUGCAAGUCGAAGGAGAAGCCCCUUCGGGGGUGGACACUGGCGAAAGGGCGAGGAAUACAUUCGAACGUGCCCCAAGGUGGGGGAUAGCGUCGGGAAACCGGCAGUAAUACCCCAUGUGCUCUACGGAGGAAAGGCUUGCUGCCUCGGGAGCGGGGAACGUCCUAUCAGCUUGUUGGUGAGGUAAUGGCUCACCAAGGCUUAGACGGCUAGCGGGUGUGAGAGCAUGACCCGCCGCAUCGGGACUGAGACACUGCCCGGACUCCUUCGGGAGGCUGCAGUAACGAAUAUUCCGCAAUGCGCGAAAGCGUGACGGAGCAAUGCCGCGUGGAAGGACGAAGCCCCUCGGGGUGUAAACUUCUGUCAGGACCUAGGAAGAUCUGACCAGGUCCAGAGGAAGGGCCGGCUAAGUUCGUGCCAGCAGCCGCGGUAAUACGAACGGCCCGAGCGUUGCGCGGAAUCAUUGGGCUUAAAGGGUGCGUAGGCGGGUGCGCAGGCAUCUUGGGAAAUCCCUCGGCUCAACCGAGGAACUGCAGGGUGAACCGCGUGUCUUGAGACAAGUAGGGGCUGUCGGAACGCUAGGUGGAGUGGUGAAAUGCGUUGAUAUCUAGCGGAACACCAAAGGAGAAAUCAGACAGCUGGGCUUGUCCUGACGCUGAGGCACGAAAGCGUGGGGAGCGAACGGGAUUAGAUACCCCGGUAGUCCACGCCGUAAACGAUGUGCACUAGGUCGUGGUGGGUCUGACCCCUUCUCGGUCGAAGCGAAAGUGUUAAGUGCACCGCCUGGGGAGUACGGUCGCAAGGCUAAAACUCAAAGGAAUUGACGGGGGCUCACACAAGCGGUGGAGCAUGUGGCUUAAUUCGAAGCAACGCGAAGAACCUUAUCAGGGUUUGACAUGCCUGGAUGCGUCCUGUGAAACAUCCGAGCCACGCCCUUGGGUGGAACGUGCACAGGUGCUGCAUGGCUGUCGUCAGCUCGUGCUGUGAAGUGUCGGGUUAAGUCCCUUAACGAGCGCAACCCUUAUCGCUAGUUGCCAGCGAGUCAUGUCGGGGACUCUAGCGAGACUGCCGGUGUCAAACCGGAGGAAGGUGGGGAUGACGUCAAGUCCGCAUGGCCCUUAUGUCCUGGGAUGCAAACGUGCUACAAUGGCGUGGACAGAGCGACGCAAGACCGCAAGGUGGAGCAAAUCGCAAAAACCACGCCCCAGUUCGGAUUGGAGUCUGCAAUUCGACUCCAUGAAGCCGGAAUCGCUAGUAAUCGCAGAUCAGCUACGCUGCGGUGAAUACGUUCCUGAGCCUUGUACACACCGCCCGUCAAGUCAUGGAAGCCGGGAGUGCCCGAAGUCGCUGCGAUUCAGCAGUGCCCACGGCAAG